UUAUGGCCAUAUCAGGUUGAAAAAACCGUUUCUCGUACGAACACCAAUGUUAAGCAACGUCGAGCCUAGUCAGUACCUAGAUGGGUCGCCGUUUGU